rnacentral:rRNA from 1 species
CAGCCGCCGCGGUAAUACGUAGGGGGCAAGCGUUAAUCGGAAUUACUGGGCGUAAAGCGUGCGCAGGCGGUUAUAUAAGACAGAUGUGAAAUCCCCGGGCUCAACCUGGGAACUGCAUUUGUGACUGUAUAGCUAGAGUACGGCAGAGGGGGAUGGAAUUCCGCGUGUAGCAGUGAAAUGCGUAGAUAUGCGGAGGAACACCGAUGGCGAAGGCAAUCCCCUGGGCCUGUACUGACGCUCAUGCACGAAAGCGUGGGGAGCAAACAGGAUUAGAUACCCCCGUAGUCCCUGUCUCUUAUAC